rnacentral:misc_RNA from 1 species
AACCAUAGAAACCUGCGGAGUACCUGCGGAAGGAUCAUUACCGAGUUUACAACUCCCAAACCCCUGUGAACAUACCUAUACGUUGCCUCGGCGGAUCAGCCCGCGCCCUGUAAAAAGGGACGGCCCGCCCGAGGACCCUAAACUCUGUUUUUAGUGGAACUUCUGAGUAAAACAAACAAAUAAAUCAAAACUUUUAGCAACGGAUCU